GGUUGUAUAGCUCAGUGGUAGAGAGCAAUCGGCUGCAGAUCGAGAGGUUCCGGUUCAACCCCGGGUGUCCC